GCGCCCGUAGCUCAGUCGGAUAGAGCACCAGAUUCCUAAUCUGGGGGUCACAGGUUCGAAUCCUGUCGGGCGCACCA
rnacentral:tRNA from 3 species